UAAGACAAAGCCAGAAAAUUAUGAUGCUCAUAAAAAUGGAGAAAGCUGCUGUGAUAAACUAGACAGCAUAGAAAAUACUGCUGCACUUGAUAUAAAAUCCUUACAUGGCACUAUUGAAAGAAAAGAUAAAACUACUUGCAUUGAACUACAACAUGUGCACCUUGAAUCCAUUAUAAUAGGAAGAGCAGCUACAUUAGAAAAAUGCAAAAAAGAGGCUGAUAUAGAUUUGAUUGCACAUACAGCAGAAGACUGUAAAGUGUAUGCAUACGAGGGGGAAGUAUCUGCUGCACCGUCAAUUUCAUCCCCAGCAUCAGUUUCUUGUGCUGAAAGUCAGACUACUGGUGUGUGCGUAAACUGGGGUCCUCAGUUUGCCACUCGGAUUGAAUCAGAAGGACAUACAGAUGUUUGAAAUGUUGUACCAGAUAUAAAUAAUUCCUUGUGG